CACGUUUCCCGUGUUGAUCCUCAUGGAGAUUUUCUGAACCUGCUGCAGAUCAUCAUCGAACUGAGCCAGCAGCCGUGUGGAGGUGUACUGCUCGAACCGCAGGAGCUUACUGUUAUGAUCUUUCAUCAGACAUGUCAAAUUGACUUUUGUGUCACUGUAGGCCUACACAUGAUCAUAACAGUAUCCAUCUGCUAGGUGAUAUGCCUUGAUACGAUAUUUACAUUCACCAAAAUAAUCCAAGACCAUGAAUAGGAUACUGUUGCACAUGUAAGUGCACUCGGGUUGCAAUCAUGAAAUAUUUGUGCAUUUGACCUUCAGGGCCACCGCAGAAUCAGGUGAUCCAGGUGUUUCUCGGUCAGACUUACUGGUCUAUUCGGGCCUCAGUGAAGUUUCGUCCACUGUGCAGCCGGAUGUAGACGACCCCCCAGCGGAGGUACUGGUUCCAGGGCAGCGUGGCCGUGGUGCUGAAGAAGACUUUGGUCUGUCCGAGCUGAAGCAGAGUUUCUCUCCACCGGCUGAUAUCGUAACCUGCAGUUCAUGUCGGUGUGAAGAACGUCCACAAACAUGGCGUCCGAGGGGUCGAGCCUCUCGUCCUCCGCAGCGCUGGUGAACAUGGGACCUGCCGGGUCCAGACCUGGAGGACGGGAGGAGGUUUGCUCCCACGAAUCCCGCCAGGUGAGCUCCCAGACUGACGCCGAUGAGGUGAACUGAGCUCAGUGACGCUCCUUCCUCCUGCAGACGCAAAACAAACAUCAAAACUCCCUGUUACAGUCAAGGUUACAAACUGAAAAGACUUUGAAUCUACGCUUCAAUCCGCCUGACUGAAAAUCAAUCCUCAGUCUGCUGUAUGACGCUGAGUAAAGACGUCUUUAGCUCGAUGAUGUGAGGAUUAAGAUGCCGAUCAAGAAACCUCGAGCAGAACCAGACUCACGGCCAUCUGCCAUGACCGGAGGGACCCAGAAAGUGGGAUGGGGGGGAAUGACGGAAAGAGCGACAUGGAUAGAGACAAACUAACCGAGCAACAACCACUGAUAACACAGACUUAAGGCGAACAUUGUGUUGCUGUUGUACACAAGACUACAUGGAGUGUUUAGUAUCGAAGCCACCAGUGGUUCCCAGUAGCUGCUGGAGGUUCCUGCUCUGCAAUUAUCUCACACAGGAGUCCCACACCGCCCUCAAUAGGAUCAGGCUGCUAUAAAAAACACCUCAUCCCUUCACCACCCGCCCUGCUGUGAAAACAAGAGACUGAAAUGGCCUCAAUCCAGCCCCAAACACACACAUUUGUAACCCUACUGAUGACAAGCUAGGAGACGGGGUGGUCUUUACUUACGUGUGUGUUUAUUCUUACACCAACAGAAUGAAACAGAAGCAAGCUCUUUUAUUUUAAACUUCAAUGUGGAGCAACUUUAAACAAUCUGUCUUUUCCCAAGCUUCACUAAGCUGUUUCUGUCUGUAGUCAUACACUUGUUUUGUCUUUUUGUGGGCACUUUGAGUGCAACACAGUUAUUUAAUCUUAGAUUCUUGCAGGAACAAUCCCUUCUAUAAGAGCUGAACUCUAAGCAGACUUGAGCUUUCACAAUGAGCAAAGUUCUUAUUUUCUUUAACUAAUAAGCAGAAUUAUUGUUGUUUUUUCCUACCUUUG